UGUUGGGUUAAGUCCCGCAACGAGCGCAACCCUCGCCGUUAGUUGCCAGCACGUUUGGGUGGGCACUCUAACGGGACUGCCGGUGUCAAACCGGAGGAAGGUGGGGAUGACGUCAAGUCAUCAUGGCCCUUACGCGCAGGGCUACACACGUGCUACAAUGGCGGUGACAGUGAGUUAAUCUCUAAAAACCGUCUCAGUUCGAAUUGGGGUCUGCAACUCGACCCCAUGAAGUCGGAAUCGCUAGUAAUCGCGUAACAGCAUGACGCGGUGAAUACGUUCCCGGGCCUUGUACACACCGCCCGUCACACCAUG
rnacentral:rRNA from 1 species